UACGAAGGGGGCUAGCGUUGUUCGGAAUCACUGGGCGUAAAGCGCACGUAGGCGGAUCCAUAAGUCAGAGGUGAAAUCCCGGAGCUCAACUUCGGAACUGCCUUUGAUACUGUGGAUCUAGAGUCCGAUAGAGGUGGGUGGAAUUCCUAGUGUAGAGGUGAAAUUCGUAGAUAUUAGGAAGAACACCGGUGGCGAAGGCGGCCCACUGGAUCGGUACUGACGCUGAGGUGCGAAAGCGUGGGGAGCAAACAGG
rnacentral:rRNA from 1 species